rnacentral:lncRNA from 1 species
GUGAGAGAGAAAAUAGUGAGAGAGAGAACAGAAAAAUCGGCAUGCACGUAGAGGAGAGGUAGUUUUCUUAACGGAUGCAACGGGAAGAAAUAAGAAGGUGGGUCUGGGGUUUAGGAGUCUUGGGAAGGCUUAUAAAAAUUAACUUGGAGGAAAAAGAGAGAGGUAAGAAACAAAACCCUAGUUUUUAUGAGUGAAAAGUUGAGACCGAGAAGGAGAAGCAAGCAACACAUCUAGCUGUGGCAAGAAAGGUGAUCGUCAACAUUUUUUUUCUACAUUCGGAACCGUGAGGAAAUCCAAGGUAAGGGGAGUAACUUGAUAUUAUCAUGUAUAUGAGGGGCUUGGGAUGGGGUAUGUUUAAAUUGUAAAGAGUAUAUGAUGUGUUCGUUUAUAUUUCUCCUACUCUUUUACGUUGAUGAUGGCAUGCAUGAAAGGCAUGGUACCUUGUGAAUGUUCGGAGUGCACUAGUGAACCUUGCGAGAGAAGGUGUUUCUUGAAUUAAUGGGAGGGAUUGUCUUCGUACUGCGAGUUGGUAGCAUAAUUUCCCAUCAGGUAAACCAAAGCUGACUAGAAUGACUUACUAAGUAAAUAAAAAAUAAAAGGAAUAAAAUAGAGAGGAAUUGUAUUAGGUCUAGGGCGUUGAAGUGAUGUAACAAAGAUUAUAAGAAUAGAAGCAAUAAUGCAGACGAGAGAUAAAAGAGGUGGGUUCGACGUAUGUGAGAGUAUGUGAAUAAAACGGUGAAGGCUUCGGGUUAGGUGAUCUGAGUAAAUAUAUAUGGAGGGUUUAGUAGUGAGCAAGGUAUUGCGAGGGAUAGAAGAAGAAGAGAUAAGAAGGAACAUGCACAGGAAUGUAGUAGGAGAACGGGUUUGCGUUAAAAAAAAUAAUAAUAAUGGAGGAGUGGACUAGGAUUUAGUUAGGAAGAAUAAUGGGUUUAGGAGUGAAGAAGGAUUAUGCUUACUGUGAACUAAAAUGUGUGUUUGGUUGGUGUUGGCAAGAAUGAUAAGAGAUAGGGUGGUAGGUGUUUUCCGUAAGGGAAUGGGCAUAAGGUUCUUAUGGUGUUGGAAAGGAAGUGAAAAAAAAAUGGAGAAUAAGAUAGGUUUUAAAUAGUAUCAGUGAAAAAGAAAAGUGAGGAGGAGACUAGAAUAAAGCAGUGAGGGUUAAUGUUUAGUUGUGAUGGAAAAGUUUAUUUUUUUUUUGUGUCGUUUUUGAUACUGUAGUAUAUUAAGUUAAAGGUUAUUUUGGGUGAUGGAAGUCUUUAAUUUUAGAGGAAAAUACUGGUGGGCUUAGGAAGGGGUUGUUUAACCUAGAGUUAGGAUGUUUUGUUCCUUACAUGAGAAUCUGGUGGGUUGGCAUGGGAGUUACAUGCAUUUUGCUACUGCAUCAUGAAUAAGAAGGAGAAACAAUAAUAUAUAAAGAUGAGAGAUAAGGAAUCAAAGCUUAAUGAAUGCAUUAAAUAGGGUGGGUCCUCGGGAGAAGUAAUGAAAGAAGAAGUUCUUUUUUUUUUUUUAUUUAAUGGCAUUGAAGUUUUAUUGCAGAGGUCUCACUGUUUUUGAACUUAGAUUUUCUGAAUAUAUAUAUGUACAUAAUAAUUGAUUUGUUUAUGUAUUGGAUGAAUAAAUAAAGCAUUGGGUCCGCACACGAAAAAG